rnacentral:rRNA from 1 species
CCCUUAGAUGUCCUGGGCCGCACGCGCGCUACACUGAGUGUCUGAGAUACGAGUCUGCCUGGUCCGGCAAGGUCUAGGUAAUCGCUAAAAGACACAUCAUGCUUGGGAUAGAUUAUUGCAAAUAUUAAUCUUGAACGAGGAAUUCCUAGUAAGCGCAAGUCAACAGCUUGCGUUGAUUACGUCCCUGCCCUUUGUACACACCGCCCGUCGCUACUACUGAUUGGAUGUUUAGGCGAGGUUCUCGAACUGCUAGCGACUUAGCUUCGGUGAGGUCGCAGUGUGGGAAGUGAACCGAGCUUUGGUGUCUAGAGGAAGUAAAAGUCGUAACA